UAUUUAUUGCAUCUAAUAAUUAACAAUAUUCAAGUGGUUUUUUUUUCAUUAAAGCCUUUUACGAAGGUUUUCUAAAUCGGUUUUUACUUUCGGUACACCACAUUUGACGCGAAAAUAUGUGUAAACAAAUAUGUGGUCUCAUUGGUUAAUAACCGUAGUGGGGCUCUUCUGUCUUUGAUUGCAACGGGAAGUGAAAACAUUCUGGAUAAUAGUUUUCAAGCUGAUUUUCGCAACAUAUUGGAUAUAGAGAGAUAUUUAUAUUAUUUCAGGUUCGAAGGCUAUGACGACAAAACUAUUAAAAUUCAGCUACAUGCUAAAGCAUAAUGGUCACGAUGGCGAAAUCUUCGGCGACCUAUGAUUUGUGCAUAAUUUGUGUAGCGAUUUUUAAAAUUGUUACUGCUCAAACAUACCAUAUCAGUUUUGCGGGACUUCAUUGCAAAAUGUGCCCACCGGGUACCCAUUGGGUAAGUGACUGCAACUCGGACGGGCAGCAAGAUAAAUGUGAACCCUGUCCUGAAGGAUCUUACACGUCCAAAUAUAACAUUGCACAUUUGUGUGCGCCGUGUCGCACAGAAUGUACAGGACAACACCAUGAUCGAAACAUUGUACAAGUGUCCUGUACAAACAUAUCUGAUUUGAAAUGUGCGUGUAAGGAGGGCUAUUGGUUGAAACGGCAUCAUCAGAAAUCAACGUGCAGACAUGUGUCUUCCUGUCGUCCUGGUUCAGGCGUCCAACGUCAGGCGGACGACAAUAGCGACACAACAUGUGCCACUUGCCAAGCUGGUUUCACGUUCUCCAACAUCACGUCUACGACAGAGCUCUGCAGGGACUGUACCGUGUGCGGAGACGCAUAUGAAGUUGUCACCAAGUGUACCCCGUUCAAUGACACUGUCUGCCAAUUGAAAGAGCAACCGUACGAUAUAGUAGAACCGAUUGCAGGCCUAUCAAUUGAAACGGAAUUGAGUUCGUCCGCAAGGAUAACUUGGUCUAUAUCAAAGAUGACAAUGGUUGUUUGCUUUGCUUUAUUACAACUUCAAUCAUUCUAAUUGAAUCUAAAGGAAAGCUAUCAUGAUUCGUUAUCGCGCUUCACAUUUUUUGAGUGCAGAUUUCGAGGAUAUACAAUACUUUUAUGCUUUGUUACCUUGAGUUUAUAUUUUAUUUGACAUUAACUUUGUUUCUUUGCUCAAUAUCUGUCCCGACUUGAUUGCUCAUUUUUUAGCUCAUCUAUUUUUUGAAAAAAAAAUGUGAGCUAUUGUCAUCACCUUGGCGUCGGCGUUGGCGUCGGCGUCCGGUUAAGUUUUGCGUUUAGGUCCACUUUUCUCAGAAAGUAUCAAUGCUAUGGCAUUCAAACUUGGUACACUUACUUACUAUCAUGAGGGGACUGGGCAGGCAAAGUUAGAUAACUCUGGCGUGCAUUUUGACAGAAUUAUGUGCCCUUUUUAUACUUAGAAAAUUGAAAAUUUUGGUUAAGUUUUGU